AGCGGCGGACGGGUGAGUAACGCGUGGGUAACCUGCCUCAUACAGGGGGAUAACAGUUGGAAACGGCUGCUAAUACCGCAUAAGCGCACAGUACCGCAUGGUACCGUGUGAAAAACUCCGGUGGUAUGAGAUGGACCCGCGUCUGAUUAGCUAGUUGGCGGGGUAACGGCCCACCAAAGCGACGAUCAGUAGCCGACCUGAGAGGGUGACCGGCCACAUUGGGACUGAGACACGGCCCAA
rnacentral:rRNA from 1 species